GGAGGGGAGGAAGCCUGGGCCCAACGGCUGAACGGGACAGGCCAGGCUCACCCGAGGAAGGGGACGCAGGACCCACAGCCCCUGUGGUCAGGCCUGUGGGCCACGUGGAGAGAAGGUUCCAGAACAGUGCUUGUUGACGAGCCUCUCCCUACAAGUCCCUUCAGCAGCAGCUCCAUCCCUGAGUGUCUGCACAAGCCUGCACGCAUGUGUGUAUGUGUGCCAGGGCGUGUGUGCAGGUGUGCAACAGGCACAUGGCAGCUGGGAGGCUCAGGCUGUGGGGCUGGGGGGCUGUCCG
rnacentral:lncRNA from 1 species